GCUCCACAUGCUUGAGCCCCAAAAGCAUGAGAACCACGUGUAAAAAAGUUGCAAAGGAAAAGCCUAUCUUGUUCUACACAGAUUCAUUUCAUUCAGAUCUUCCCCAUCCGCCAGGCAAUUUCAUCUGAGUUUUAUCGAAAUUGGGAAAGAAAGGCUAAAUUAUUGAAAUGGGUAGUCGUAUUGUUCUUUCUAAAAGAACUAUGAAGUCGAUUUUGAUGUUAUUCAUUCGUUUAGGUAAAUUUGUUAAAAUUGGAUUUUUUUUUUAAUUUUUUCUUUUGAACAAAAAUGAUCUGAAAUUGAUCGAUUACGAUCAAUGUAUAGCGUAAUUUCAAGAACUUUGAACA